rnacentral:rRNA from 1 species
UUGUUGGUAAGGUAAAGGCUUACCAAGGCUUCGAUCAGUAGCUGGUCUGAGAGGACGGCCAGCCACACUGGGACUGAGACACGGCCCAGACUCCUACGGGAGGCAGCAGUGGGGAAUUUUGGACAAUGGGGGAAACCCUGAUCCAGCCAUGCCGCGUGAGUGAAGAAGGCCUUCGGGUUGUAAAGCUCUUUCAGCCGGAACGAAACGGUUACGGAUAAUACCCGUGACUACUGACGGUACCGGAAGAAGAAGCACCGGCUAACUACGUGCCAGCAGCCGCGGUAAUACGUAGGGUGCGAGCGUUAAUCGGAAUUACUGGGCGUAAAGCGUGCGCAGGUGGUUUUGUAAGUCAGAUGUGAAAGCCCCGGGCUCAACCUGGGAACUGCGUUUGAAACUACAAGACUAGAGUGUGGCAGAGGGGGGUGGAAUUCCGCGUGUAGCAGUGAAAUGCGUAGAGAUGUGGAGGAACACCGAUGGCGAAGGCAGCCCCCUGGGUUAACACUGACACUCAGGCACGAAAGCAUGGGGAGCAAACAGGAUUAGAUACCCUGGUAGUCCAUGCCCUAAACGAUGUCAACUAGUUGUCGGGCCUUUACGGGCUUGGUAACGUAGCUAACGCGUGAAGUUGACCGCCUGGGGAGUACGAUCGCAAGAUUAAAACUCAAAUGAAUUGACGGGGACCCGCACAAGCGGUGGAUUAUGUGGAUUAAUUCGAUGCAACGCGAAAAACCUUACCUACCCUUGACAUGUAUCGAAGCCCGCAGAAAAGCGGGGGUGCCCGAAAGGGAACGAUAACACAGGUGCUGCAUGGCUGUCGUCAGCUCAUGUCGUGAGAUGUUGGGUUAAGUCCCGCAACGAACACAACCCUUAUCAUUAAUUGCCAUCAUUUAGUUGGGCACUUUAAUGAGACUGCCGG